rnacentral:rRNA from 1 species
GAUGAACGCUGGCGGCGUGCCUAAUACAUGCAAGUCGAGCGAAGCGGGGACGGGUGAGUAACACGUGGAUAACCUCCUAUAAGACUGGGUGAACUUGGGGAAACCGGAGCUAAACCGGAUAGUUAUAGAUGGAUCCGCGCUGCAUUAGCUAGUUGGUAAGGUAACGGCUUACCAAGGCAACCAUGCAUAGCCGACCUGGGAGGGUGAUCGGCCACACUGGAACUUAGACACGGUCCAGCCUCCUACGGGAGGCAGCAGUAGGGAAUCUUCCGCCAUGGGCGAAAGCCUGACUGAGCAACGCCGCGUGAGUGAUGAAGGUCUUCAGAGCGUAAAACUCUGUUAUUAGGGAAGCGGUACCUAAUCAGAAAGCCACGGCUAACUACGGGCCCGCAGCCGCGGUAAUACC